rnacentral:lncRNA from 1 species
GAAGGACCAAAAAUUUUUCCCUAGUCCUUUCUCGUCCAAGCUAAAGUUCCUGUGGACUUCCCAGGAAAACGACAGUGUCCGGAAGCCUCUGCAAUGCCCUCUUAGGAUUGUCCAAGAAGAUGGCGAAACAUUUGCAGGCAGCGAUAGGAGUUGAGGGAAUGUGCGGGCUGAAACUAAGGUUUUUUUCUUUUGUUUUGUUUCGUUUUUGAGACGGAGUCUUGCUCUGUCGCCCAGGCUGGAGUCCAGUGGCGCGAUCUCGGCUCACUGCAACCUCCGUCUCCCGGGUUCCAGAGAUUCUCGUGCCUCAGCCUCGCGAGUAGCUGGGAUUACAGGCGUGAGCCACCACGCUUGGUUAAUUUUUGUGUUUUUUGUUUGUUUGUUUUUUGAGACGGAGUCUCUUUCUGUCGCCCAGGAGUGCAGUGGCGCGAUCUCGGCUCACUGCAACCUCCGCCUCCUGGGCUCAAGCGAUUCUCCUGCCUCAGCCUCCUGAGUAGCUGGGAUUACAGGCGCCCGCCACCACGCCCGGAUAAUUUUUUGUAUUUUUAGUAGAGACGGGGUUUCACUAUGUUGGUCAGGCUGGUCUUGAAUUCUUGACCGCGUGAUCCGCCCUCCUCGGCGUCCCAAAGUGCUGCUGGAAUUACAGGUGUGAGCCACCGCGCCCGGCCAAUUUUUUUUUUUUUUUAUUUUUUAGUAGAGACGGGGUUUCGCCAUGUUGGCCAGUCUGGUCUGGAACUCCUGACCUCAAGUGAUCCGCCCUCCUCGGCCUCCCAAAGUGCUGAGAUUACAGAAGUAAGCUACCGCGCCAGGCCUGAAGCCAUGGGUUUUGAGGGGUGUUUAUUUGUUUGUUUGCUUAGAGAUGGGGUCUUGAUCUGUCGCCCAGGCUGGAGUGCGGUGGCGCGAUCAUAGCUCACUGCAGCCUCCAACUCCUGGGCAAGUGAUCCUCCUGCCUCAGCCAACCCAAUAGCUGGGAUUACAGGCGCGAAGCCCACUGGUUUUUAGGUUUCAUGUUGCCUCUCCCACCCCCUCUCCUUCCAGGGGACUGGGGAACGGUGGAGGCUCAUAUAGACCUGAAAGGGGCACGAGGGAUCCUCCCAGGUUGCUGGAAUCUCUAGUAUCUUUACCUAGGUGGUAGAUACGUGGAUGUCUACAUUUUUUAAAAAAAUCAAUUAGACUAUUACAUUUUUAUUUUAUUUUGAGACAGCUUUUCACUCUUGUCACCCAGGCUGGAGCGCAAUAGUGCAAUCUCAGCUCACUGCAACCUCCACCUCCGGGUUUCAAGCUAUUCUUCUCCCUUAGCCUCCCAAGUAGCUGGGAUUACGGGCGCCUGCCACCACACCCAGGUAAUUUUUGUAUUUUUAGUAGAGACGGGUUUUCACCAUGUUGGUCAGGCUGGUCUCGAACUCCUGACCUUCAGAUGAUCCACCCGCCUCUGCCUUCCAAAGUACUGGGAUUAACAGGCGUGAGCCUCCACACCCAGCAACUAUUGCAUUUUAUUUUACUGUAUGUAUGUAAUACCUUAACCACACACAAAAAAUUACCUUGUUCAAAUUUUCCAGAAUUAGAAUUCUACCAGUUCCCCAAAGUCUUGCUGUUUCUCCAUGCCCCUUAGCCCUUACCAGCUGCUAGAGCUGUCUUUUCAUCCUUUGCACCCUGGCACACUCCUACUCAUCCCUCAGAACCCAAAUGUCACCUCUUAUCUCUAAAAUGUUCCUUGACAUCCUUCUGCCAAAUACUAGCCCCUUCCUCUCUGUUUACAAUGCAGAUUCGGUCCUAGUGAAUUACUGUUAUUUUCUACUCUGCCUCACUCAUGAAGGCACAAGACUUGAUUUACAUACGCUGUCCUCUUCAGGCCCUGCCACAGGGCCACAGAAGGACCUCACACAUUUCAUGUCAAUUGAGGUCACUGGACUGACCUGGGAAUGAGGAGCCUGGGUUGUUACUCCACUUUUGCACAUAGAUGUGUGACCUUGAUUAUUUUCCACCACGUCCUGGCCUCGGUUUCCUUAUCUGUUAAAAGGGAAUGACACCACAGGCCUUGCAAAAUUGAAGGGAUUAUUUCUUUGAAGACCAACAGGCGAUAGGGGGCAGUAGUGUCCCAGGAUCCAGUUUCCCGCUUCAGGUUUCAAGAAACAGGAGCAGCUGCAGUGAUGAAGUUUUCCCGACUAUGACAGUGUACAGUUGACCUUGAACAACGUGGGGGUUUGGGGCACCGACCCCUGCACAGUCCA